rnacentral:lncRNA from 1 species
GGGCGGCUCAGUGGCUACUGAGUCUAGCCAACCGAUUGUUAAGAAACGUCUCCCGAAGAAAAUCAGGCAAGUCCCUGACUGUUAUUUUCUGCCUCGGCGGUCCUGGCCUUCUGCACUGGCCAUCUAUGGUGCUGUGUGUGCUGCUGGGGUUGGUGCAGGGAUGCUGCUUGAAGUGUGGAUAAACAAAAAGAUCAAAGGUAUAUUCCUGGAUUUCAUAGCAGGAGCAAUUGAUUUUCUUGCGAAUUUUGUGUGUGCCACUGAUAGCAUGGAUUGCUCACAUUCAUACUCUUGUUUGUUGCUGCAUUCAGAGGAUGGUGGCAUUAUCUGGGAGAUGGAUAAAUGAUAUGGAGCACACUUUGAUGCAGUAAAACCUCCCUUGCCAUUAUGGAGAUUGCUAACUCGAAAAGUUUCUGAUGCAAAUUAACACAGCCUUGUUUCUGUAUCUGGAUUUAUCUGCAUAAUAGCAGUAUGAGGUGCUCCAAACUUCCAAGCUUCAUUAAACAAGGAAACUGAAAGUGUCAGAACCACAAUUCAUAUAGAUUGGAUUUUUGUGAGACAUUGUAACUAAUGUAUUGGUAAGCAUUACUUUGAAUGUCUUUGUGGUUUUUCCAGCUGUUGAGUUGCAUCUUGUAGUUGGGUUUGGCAAUCAAUGUAUCUGGCAUCAUGUGCUAUGUUGAUAAAUUAUGAGAAUUUAUUCAUUUUGUGCAUCAAACUACUACCAUGCCUGUUCUUGGAGAGAGAAAAAAAAGUGUACAGUAUCAAACUACUAUGCAUUUGCCUUAGUACAUAGGCAAAAAGCCAGGAGAUGCUUGGGCAUUUUCUUUUGUCAUAUUCUCAGAGAUUGGAUCAAUCAAUCCAUGUUGAGAUAAACAUCAACUGUAGGACCAAAAGUGUAGGCAACCUUUAUGUACCUUCAUGGAGAAAUAAAUAAACUGCCAUCCUUUUCCUUUGAUAUCUACUGGUAGUAAAAUGCAUAAGUUAUGACUUACAACAAUGAUAUUCCUAUCUUUUUGCUUGAUUUUGACCUUAUGUAAUCUUAAAACUUUUUUGCCAUCCUUGCUAAUUCAUAAUUGCAGCAAUUUAAGUAUUCAGCUUCCUGUUUUUCUCAUAGAAUGUUUGCACUGAAAUCAUUCAUGUUCUUUUAGAAAGUGUUAUGGUUCCUGUCUUCAUGUUCUUUGUGUACUACACUUUCCUUCCCCGAAAGUGCUGAUUUCUUCUCUUAUCUGUGCCCUCUUUCUUGUGCCAAUACGCUUUCUCCUAAGCAUAGCCUUCGCAUCAGCGCUGUAAGCAGCAUUCAAUAGAAACAUGGACAUCCCCGGAUGGAAUUUCUCUCCAAUACAUUAUGGUAUGAACGACAGGACAUUAAUCUCCUCUAUCAUCUCCAUCCAUGCCUGCUGGGGAGUCCGGGUACAGGGCGGAUUAAACUAAUCCAGGGGCCAUUAAUGUUGCAACCAGAUUUGAUUAGUGCAGUUAAUGCGGGGAUUGACUGACCUAAAACUGCUACUGCUCCUUCUCCAACUGAUCCGUCCAUUCCCCUCGGAUCUUCAGCUCUGCAAGAGGAAUGUGUCAGCAGUUAAUGCUCCCUGCUGACUUCGCGCCACCCCCGUGCAUGCUUCUUUUUCUAGACAAGGGAGGAGAGAAUAAAACUGUGCGAUCGUGCGCUCUUAUUAGCCCCUUGUCAACGGAUUAUCUGAUAUUCAAUAAUCGUACAUGCUAAGUAGGUUUAUCCCCUCAACUAAUUCAUCUCCAUCAUGCUACCUUUAUGUUCUUUUUACUACAUCUUAGUUUUGUGUAUACUUUUGCUAUUAUGGUCUUUUAUGAUCUGCAGUGGAGAGGCGGGUUGAGUAGUCUCUUGCAUAAAAGGGCAGCUUGGGUAACAGAACAUAGGUGAAUCAACAACUAAAAAUUCCGGUGAGUUAAAAGAUUGGCUCACGUUUUGGAGAAGUGUGUAGGAAUUGACAAAUUGUGCCAUUCAAUGUAUAGGGAUCAGUGGUAAGAGAUAAAUUAGUUAAUAUGCAUUGUAGUGACUAUCUCUACUGUCUAUACAAAUAUCUAGCUUGUGCUGAUGAUGUCAUCUUGGUUGUUAGAUGUGUAGAAACUAAUACUAUAAAGUAAUAAUCUUAUACCUGUGAGAACCUGUAGACAAAGCUGGUACUGAUCUCAUUUUUUUUUUCAACACUUAUGAUCUUGAUCUUUAUUUUAACCUUCUACAAGUUGCAGGGUCUUCUCAAUCAGCUAGACCUUUCCUUCACUUUACUGAAGGAUCUGAGAGCAUUUUGCUGUGCAAACUGCAAAGGCUCAUAGGAUCCUCCUUAUUAUAGCAAGCUGACAGUAAAUAAUCUUAUCACUUUACCAGAUUGAACCCGCACUUGUGCUAAUUAUUUUAGUUGAAAGAACAUCAGACAUGACUCGUAGUGGGGGCGUCAGAAUAAUCCCGGUGCUUAAUGACUCUGUUCUUCCUGGGUAUUUUCUUAGUCUGAUCCUCUCUCUGAAUACUUUUGCCCUACUGAUAACUGCAUUUAGCUGUCAGUCGAUCUGUCAUCGGAUGCCAUUUUGUCAUUUGGGGUUUACUCUCGCACGCGCGCACGGAGCUGAGCAUAACUUCUUGCCUUCUCCAGACUCCAAUGCGUAUGUUGUUGCACGUGUGCAGUCGUGAACUGCAGCCUGAACUGGGAGAGUGUGAAGCUGUUCAAGAACAAUCACCGUUUCAGCUUUGGCCUUAAACGUGAGCAUAGAGGUCAUGCGGAACAUUCACCGUUUCCGGAGACGCCUUCCAAAACGGCCCCGCAAUACCUGAUUUUUGUAAAGGCCCACUUUGAAAUGCCAUUUUUUGCCCGAAUUUUGGAGGGAAUUUAGCCAAUUCGUGCAAAGUUUUUUGUGAAAUUUCUGUGUUCCAAAGGGACGUAAGCUAUUUAAAAAAAAUAGCAGGGAUUAUCAAGUUGGUUGCGGAGAGAACGAAGGUGUGCCAAGAUUGCCCCACACAACCAACUCGCUCGAUCUUGCUUCCGAUAUUUGAAUAUUGUCUUGGACUCACACAAGUUAUACUUCAUGGCUGCAUGUCAGUUAAGUUAUGCUUCUCCUAAUAACAAAAAAAAAA